rnacentral:lncRNA from 1 species
UGUUUACAUGUUAUUGUUAUUUGAACAGCUGAGCAUUUAAUCUGAACCAGGUGAAGAGCCCUGUUUAUUAUUUAUUCAUUUGAUUUUUCAACUGUUCACUGAAAUAGCCGCUUUCAAUAAAACUACUUGAGACAUGUCAUAUCUGGCUUUGACUUUGACUGAACAUUUGCUCUCACUUUGCUGAAAAAAUAUCAGGAUAUAUAUCUUAUAUCGAUAUUCAGCCUAAAUAUAUCAGGAUAUGACUUUUGGUCCAUAUCGCCCAGCCCUAGCUCAAGCAUUAUUGAGCACAUCUGCAGCAAUAAGUGACUGACUGACCUGACAGGUGACUUGACAGGUGACCUGCCAUGAUACUAUGCCUUUAGAGGUGGGGGUGGAAAUGCAGUUGUUGUUCAGUCACUGCAUGAAUAUUAAAUAUGGGUUAUGCAUAUUCCAUUUUUUUGUCCUCUAGUAAAACAAGUUGUUGUUGAACCAAC